rnacentral:sRNA from 1 species
UACCCUGUGGGACCCCGGCCGAUUUGC